AACGCUAGCUACAGGCUUAACACAUGCAAGUCGAGGGGCAGCAUGAUUGAAGCUUGCUUCAAUUGAUGGCGACCGGCGCACGGGUGAGUAACACGUAUCCAACCUUCCGUACACUCAGGAAUAGCCUUUCGAAAGAAAGAUUAAUACCUGAUGGUAUGAUGAGAUUGCAUGAAAUCAUCAUUAAAGAUUCAUCGGUGUACGAUGGGGAUGCGUUCCAUUAGAUAGUAGGCGGGGUAACGGCCCACCUAGCCUACGAUGGAUAGGGGUUCUGAGAGGAAGGUCCCCCACAUUGGAACUGAGACACGGUCCAAACUCCUACGGGAGGCAGCAGUGAGGAAUAUUGGUCAGUGGACGAGAGUCUGAACCAGCCAAGUAGCGUGAAGGAUGAAGGUCCUACGGAUUGUAAACUUCUUUUAUAAGGGAAUAAAACCUCCCACGUGUGGGAGCUUGUAUGUACCUUAUGAAUAAGCAUCGGCUAACUCCGUGCCAGCAGCCGCGGUAAUACGGAGGAUGCGAGCGUUAUCCGGAUUUAUUGGGUUUAAAGGGAGCGCAGACGGGUCGUUAAGUCAGCUGUGAAAGUUUGGGGCUCAACCUUAAAAUUGCAGUUGAUACUGGCGUCCUUGAGUGCGGUUGAGGUGUGCGGAAUUCGUGGUGUAGCGGUGAAAUGCUUAGAUAUCACGAAGAACUCCGAUUG
rnacentral:rRNA from 1 species